AAUUGAUUAGUCUAACUAAGACUUUUGUUUUGAAAACAAAUAAUGAUUAAUAAUUAAAUCAUCAAUUU
rnacentral:tRNA from 1 species